rnacentral:lncRNA from 1 species
GGUUGAUGUUUAGACGAGUUGUAUAUACAUUAUGUACACAGCCAUGUAUCACCAUCAUUGAUGGCGAUCCGGUGGAUACAUCUGUUGUAGAGUUGUCACUGACUCAGACGUACUUAUAAAUAUAAUUAUUUUCUGUGACUGUAUAUUACAUUAAUUUGUAGGAUCCUUUACUAUAGAUAAUUUAGCUGAUCUGUAACAAUAACAUCUUCAUGCCUUAUAUAUCAUGUACUGUAGUACGCCGCUAGAUUAAAACUGACGAAGAAAGGUAACACACGGCCAGCGAAAGCUCUUUUUUUGAGAGCCCAGGUGGUCGUGUGGUCUAGCG